UAGUGGUAGCAGUACACGGUAGGAAGCAGAAAUAUGCGAAUUGGCCCCGGUCAAAAAGUGAAAUAUUGGGAAAGGGUUCAUUGUUUUUUUAAUUGAGCGUGGUGGAGAUCAAGAAGGCGUCCGCGGCUCCGAGAGAGUGUGUGUCUACCGUGGUCUGCUACCUUAAGUGGUUCAUUGUUUUCUGAAUUGAGCGUGGUGGAGAUCAAGAAGGCGUCCGCGGCUCCGAGAGAGUGUGUGUCUACCGUGGUCUGCUACCAGUAAUACAAGGCAAUAUGGCGACCGUUAGCCACGAGGCCUAUCUUACGGAGGAAUCCGAGAUAGCCGAUGUAUCACGA